AGAGAGAUAAAGAGAAACAGACAGACAGAAAGCAACGUAAUGGUAUGACAACAUAAGGAGAGAGAAAGAGAGAGAAACGGAGAACGAGAUCGUAACCUUGUAACGUUGUGUAUAUUUAUACGUUUUGUAGGAUCUCUUUUUCUCUCUGUUUUUAAUAAAGGACGAAAAAUCGUUUCAGUUUCUCUAUAUUUUGAAAAUGAACCGUGUGCUAUCUUCGAGUGCGUGCCAACUGAUGCUAACUAAUCGCGUCACGCGCGUUUUCGCGAUAGAAAUCGCGCGUGUAUGGGUGCGUGCACUCAUACACACUCUUCCGUUUUAUAUUUGUAGAUGCGUAUUGGUUGAUUCGCUGUUCGAUCGGAACGAUGUGUCUAUUUACAAUGAAAAUACAAAUUCGAGCUGCCGUACGUAUCCAUGUACGUCGCGUUCUCUUUGAAUUUGAAUGUUUGUUUUGAGAAAGUAACGCGACUCCGUUUCGUGUCUAGUAAUCCGAAAACGGCAACGAUGACGUCUUCCUCUCUCUCUAUCUCUCUCUUUCUCUCUCUCUCUCUCCCUCCCUCUUCCUCUCUCUAUCUAUCCAUCUAUCUAUCUAUCUCUCUCUACCAUUGCGAUUUUCGAGGUUAUGUGAAUCGAAUACGUAAACAUGGCGAUGGAGUAGUCAAUUGUCAAAGACCGCGAACAUUUGAUUUUGUAUCGUACGAAAACGUAUUAAAAUUGUUUCAAUUAUUUGUUUAA